CAUUAGAUGACUGAAACUUAAGUUUUGAUCUCUUAAAUCAAUUAUAGUAAAUUAAUAAUUACUUCUAAUGA
rnacentral:tRNA from 1 species